rnacentral:misc_RNA from 1 species
AGAGCUCGGGUACUUGGCGGCGCGCGUAGCGCGGCGACCAAGUCCUCCCUCAGGGUUUGAGGGAGAGCUCGGGUACUUGGCGACGCGCGUAGCGCGGCGACCAAACCCAUCCCUCAGGGUUGGAGGAUGGUUUGGCGAUACAGGGGUGGCAGGGCACAGGUAAGGGUGAAAUGGUGCGGUAAGAGCGCACCGCGAGUCCGGUAACGGACCGGCACGGCAAACCCCACCGGGAGCAAGACCAAAUAGGGAGGCUAUGCUGCGGCCCGCAGUGCCUCCGGGUAGGUUGCUUGAGCGUAGCGGCGACGCUGCGCCUAGAGGAAUGACUGUCCACGACAGAACCCGGCUUACCGGCCGGCUCCGCCG